AACGAACGCUGGCGGCAUGCCUAACACAUGCAAGUCGAACGAUACCUUCGGGUCUAGUGGCGCACGGGUGCGUAACGCGGGGGAACCUGCCCUUAGGUUCGGAAUAACUCCCCGAAAGGGGUGCUAAUCCCGGAUAAUGUCUUCGGACCAAAGAUUUAUCGCCGUAGGAUGGGCCCGCGUUGGAUUAGCUAGUUGGUAGGGUAAAAGCCUACCAAGGCGACGAUCCAUAGCUGGUAGGAGAGGAUGAUCAGCCACACUGGGACUGAGACACGGCCCAGACUACUACGGGAGGGAGCAGUGGGGAAUAUUGGACAAUGGGCGAAAGCCUGAUCCAGCAAUGCCGCGUGAGUGAUGAAGGCCUUAGGGUUGUAAAGCUCUUUUACCCGGGAUGAUAAUGACAGUACCGGGAGAAUAAGCACCGGCUAACUCCGUG
rnacentral:rRNA from 1 species